UUGGCUAUUUCGGCUUCCGAAGAGAAACCGGCAGCAGCUUCACUUAGUGAGGUGGAAACUGCAUUGUCAUUCUAUAGUUCUUUAAGCACCACCUUGCCUUUCAAGCCAAUUUGGGCAGUUGCCGAGAACUAUCGUUUUGAACCUGCUUUUGUGGAGGGCACAAAACUAAUGGCCGAAAUUGGAGAUAUGGUGAAUUUUCAGAUAAUUGUUGAAGUACCAAUGAAUAGCUCAAGUCCUUACUUCUCCACUUCUUGGAGACAUAACUUUGCUGGUGGUUUCAUACUAGAUAUGGGAGUACAUUUUAUUGCAACACUGAGAAUGGUAAUUCCAUCUUCUUCUCCUUUGCAGAAAUAAUAUCUUCUGUUGUCUAUUUUAAAAUAUAAAUUUACUUUAGUUUUGGACUGUCAUAUUACAUGCACCAGAGACAAGAAUCCCGAUGCAAUUUGAUAAAGGGUCAUUCUUGGGCUGCUGAACAGAGCCAAUUCGGAAUAACUUGCUGUUUGGAUAUUUUAGGCUCUCUUUUGGUUUUAAUUUUGACACAAAAAUAGGAUUUACAAUUUAGACAAGUUAACGACUGACCCUAAAUUGUCAAUGAUGCCUCUGUUCAGCUGCCAUGUUCUGUAAAUGUAUUUCUUCUAUGUUUUUUAUUUCUUAACAUGGCAUAUUACAGUUCAAAGAAGAAGCAUUGUUUGACAUUGAUACUGGUUAACUUGGUAGGUAGAGCAACUAUUUAGUCUCUGUCACUGGUAGAUUUUGGGGGACUCGAACAAUUCAA